GAAGCUGAAUCUGGAGAGUGGCUGGUGCGUAUCUGUGCUGGCCCGCCGAAGGCGCAAUCCCCAUGAACGCUCAGGCUUCAGUACAGGUUCAGAACG
rnacentral:ncRNA from 2 species